AUACGUAGGGGGCGAGCGUUGUCCGGAAUGAUUGGGCGUAAAGGGCGCGUAGGCGGCCCGGUAAGUCUGGAGUGAAAGUCCUGUUUUUAAGAUGGGAAUUGCUUUGGAUACUGUCGGGCUUGAGUGCAGGAGAGGUAAGUGGAAUUCCCAGUGUAGCGGUGAAAUGCGUAGAGAUUGGGAGGAACACCAGUGGCGCAGGCGACUUACUGGACUGUAACUGACGCUGAGGCGCGAAAGUGUGGGGAGCAAACAGGAUUAGAUGCCCUGGUAGUCCACACUGUAAACGAUGAAUGCUAGGUGUAGGGGGUAUCGACCCCUUCUGUGCCGCAGUCAACACAAUAAGCAUACCGCCUGGGGAGUACGGCCGCAAGGUUGAAACUCAAAGGAAUUGACGGGG
rnacentral:rRNA from 1 species